rnacentral:rRNA from 1 species
CCUACGGGAGGCAGCAGUGAGGAAUAUUGGUCAAUGGCCGUAAGGCUGAACCAGCCAAGUCGCGUGAGGGAAGAAGGAUCUAUGGUUUGUAAACUUCUUUUAUAGGGGAAUAAAGGUAUCCACGUGUGGAUAUUUGCAUGUACCCUAUGAAUAAGCAUCGGCUAACUCCGUGCCAGCAGCCGCGGUAAUACGGAGGAUGCGAGCGUUAUCCGGAUUUAUUGGGUUUAAAGGGUGCGUAGGUUGUUUUUUAAGUCAGCGGUGAAAGUUUGUGGCUCAACCAUAAAAUUGCCGUUGAAACUGGAAGACUUGAGUGUGUUUGAGGUAGGCGGAAUGCGUGGUGUAGCGGUGAAAUGCAUAGAUAUCACGCAGAACUCCGAUUGCGAAGGCAGCUUACUGGACUGCAACUGACACUGAGGCUCGAAAGUGUGGGUAUCAAACAGGAUUAGAUACCCCAGUAGUC